rnacentral:misc_RNA from 1 species
AAGUCGUAACAAGGUAUCUGUAGGUGAACCUGCAGAUGGAUCAUCAUUGAUUACCACUUGCACAGAUGUCCGGCCUCCGGGUCGCGACAGCUGGGCGCCAGGUGUGGCUCCGCACCUGUCCAACUAAACCGGGCUACCAUUUUUAACACUGUUGGAUGGGUUGGCUGUCAAGUAGCGCAAGCUACGCGGCGUCAACAAAUUUAACACACACUAAUGAUAUUUAGGAUUUGAAUGUCAACUGAUGAACGGCUGGUAAUGCGGUCGUAAAAUCAAAAAAUAACUUUUGGCAACGGAUCUCUUGGUUCUCC